rnacentral:rRNA from 1 species
CUGCGAAUGGCUCAUUAAAUCAGUUAUCGUUUAUUUGAUAAUACCUUACUACUUGGAUAACCGUGGUAAUUCUAGAGCUAAUACAUGCUAAAAACCCCGACUUCGGGAGGGGUGUAUUUAUUAGAUAAAAAACCAAUGCCCUCCGGGGCUCCUUGGUGAUUCAUAAUAACUUCUCAGAUCGCAUGGCUCCAUGCCGGCGACGGUUCAUUCAAAUUUCUGCCCUAUCAACUUUCGAUGGUAAGGUAGUGGCUUACCAUGGUUUCAACGGGUAACGGGGAAUUAGGGUUCGAUUCCGGAGAGGGAGCCUGAGAAACGGCUACCACAUCCAAGGAAGGCAGCAGGCGCGCAAAUUACCCAAUUCCGACAUGGAGAGGUAGUGACAAUAAAUACUGAUACAGGGCUCUUUUGGGUCUUGUAAUUGGAAUGAGUACAAUUUAAACCUCUUAACGAGGAACAAUUGGAGGGCAAGUCUGGUGCCAGCAGCCGCGGUAAUUCCAGCUCCAAUAGCGUAUAUUAAAGUUGUUGCAGUUAAAAAGCUCGUAGUUGAACCUUUGGCCUGGCUGGCAGGUCCGCCUCACCGCGUGCACUUGUCCGGCCGGGCCUUCUCUUCUGGAGAACCGCAUGCCCUUCACUGGGGUGUGUUGGGGA